rnacentral:tRNA from 1 species
GCCGGGAUGGAGGAACGGGAGACUCGGCGCCCUCAAAAGGCGCUGCUCGAAAGGGCGUGUGGGUUCGAAUCCCACUCCCGGCA